rnacentral:tRNA from 1 species
CACCUGGUGGUUGAGUGGUUAAAGCACUUGACUGCUAAUCAAAAGGUCAGCAGUUCGAACCCAUCAGGUAC